GACGAACGCUGGCGGCGUGCUUAACACAUGCAAGUCGAACGGUAAGGCCCUUCGGGGUACACGAGUGGCGAACGGGUGAGUAACACGUGGGUGAUCUGCCCUGCACUUCGGGAUAAGCCUGGGAAACUGGGUCUAAUACCGGAUAGGACUCCGGACUGCAUGGUCUGGGGUGGAAAGCUUUUGCGGUGUGGGAUGGGUCCGCGGCCUAUCAGCUUGUUGGUGGGGUGAUGGCCUGCCAAGGCGACGACGGGCAGCGGGCCUGGGAGGGGGACCGGACACACUGGGACUGGGAUACGGCCCAGACUCCUGCGGGAGGCAGCAGUGGAGAAUAUGUCACAAUGGGCGCAAGCCUGAUGCAGCGACGCCGCGUGAGGGAUGACGGCCUUCGGGUUGUAAACCUCUUUCAGCAUCGACGAAGCGAAAGUGACGGUAGGUGCGGAAGAAGGACCGGCCAACUACGUGCCAGCCGCCGCGGUAA
rnacentral:rRNA from 1 species